rnacentral:rRNA from 1 species
ACAUCCGGCGUUCUCGCCGGUGCACUCUGCCAGUCCAGGCCAGCAUCAGUUUGCCCCGGGGGAUAAAGGCGGCGGGAAUGUGGCUCCCUUCGGGGAGUGUUAUAGCCCGUCGUGUAAUGCCCUGGGGCGGACUGAGGAACGCGCUUCGGCACGGAUGCUGGCGUAAUGGUCAUCAAUGACCCGUCUUGAAACACGGACCAAGGAGUCGUCUUCGUAUGCGAGUGUUCGGGUGUCAAACCCCUACGCGUAAUGAAAGUGAACGUAGGUGAGAGCUUCGGCGCAUCACCGACCGAUCCUGAUGUUCUCGGAUGGAUUUGAGUAAGAGCAUACGGGGCCGGACCCGAAAGAAGGUGAACUAUGCCUGUAUAGGGUGAAGCCAGAGGAAACUCUGGUGGAGGCUCGCAGCGGUUCUGACGUGCAAAUCGAUCGUCAAAUAUGGGCAUGGGGGCGAAAGACUAAUCGAACCUUCUAGUAGCUGGUUUCCGCCGAAGUUUCCCUCAGGAUAGCAGUGUUGAACUCAGUUUUAUGAGGUAAAGCGAAUGAUUAGGGACCAGGGGGCGCUAUUUAGCCUUCAUCCAUUCUCAAACUUUAAAUAUGUAAGAAGCUCUUGUUACUUAAUUGAACGUGGGCAUUCGAAUGUAUCAACACUAGUGGGCCAUUUUUGGUAAGCAGAACUGGCGAUGCGGGAUGAACCGAACGCGAGGUUAAGGUGCCAGAGUAGACGCUCAUCAGACACCACAAAAGGUGUUAGUUCAUCUAG